rnacentral:rRNA from 1 species
AUUGAACGCUGGCGGCAUGCCUUACACAUGCAAGUCGAACGGCAGCACGGGUGCUUGCACCUGGUGGCGAGUGGCGAACGGGUGAGUAAUACAUCGGAACGUACCUUAUCGUGGGGGAUAACGCAGCGAAAGUUGCGCUAAUACCGCAUACGCCCUGAGGGGGAAAGCGGGGGACCGUAAGGCCUCGCGCGAUUAGAGCGGCCGAUGUCUGAUUAGCUUGUUGGUGAGGUAAAAGCUCACCAAGGCGAUGAUCAGUAGCUGGUCUGAGAGGACGAUCAGCCACACGGGGACUGAGACACGGCCCAGACUCCGACGGGAGGCAGCAGUGGGGAAGUUUGGACAAUGGGGGCAACCCUGAUCCAGCAAUGCCGCGUGAGUGAAGAAGGCCUUCGGGUUGUAAAGCUCUUUUGUCAGGGAAGAAACAGCAGCUCUAUCACAGUCUGCGAAUGACGGUACCUGAAGAAUAAGCACCGGCUAACUACGUGCCAGCCGCCGCCGUAA